rnacentral:rRNA from 1 species
AUUUACAUUCAUACAACAUAGCGUUAAUGCAAUGUAUCCCAUUAGAACUCUGCAGUUAAGUGUGCUUAGUCUAGAUUAGUACUGGAUGGGUGACUUCCCUGGAAGUCCUAGUGUUUUACAUG